rnacentral:rRNA from 1 species
UACGGAGGGUGCAAACGUUGCUCGGAAUUAUUGGGCGUAAAGAGCUCGUAGGCGGUUUGUCGCGUCUGCUGUGAAAACUCGGGGCUUAACCCCGGGCCUGCAGUGGGUACGGGCAGACUAGAGUGCGGUAGGGGAGACUGGAAUUCCUGGUGUAGCGGUGAAAUGCGCAGAUAUCAGGAGGAACACCGGUGGCGAAGGCGGGUCUCUGGGCCGUAACUGACACUGAGGAGCGAAAGCGUGGGGAGCGAACAGG